rnacentral:tRNA from 1 species
GCAGGGUUAGUUCAUUGGUAGAACUUCUGGUUCCCAACCAGAUAAGGCGGGUUCGAUUCCCGUACCCUGCUCCA